rnacentral:rRNA from 1 species
GACGAACGCCGGCGGCGCGCCUAACACAUGCAAGUCGAACGGAGCUGAGAGAAGCUUGCUUUUCUUAGCUUAGUGGCGAACGGGUGAGUAACGCGUGAGUAACCUGCCCUGGAGUGGGGGACAACAGUUGGAAACGACUGCUAAUACCGCAUAAGCCCACGAUCCGGCAUCGGAUUGAGGGAAAAGGAUUUAUUCGCUUCAGGAUGGACUCGCGUCCAAUUAGCUAGUUGGUGAGGUAACGGCCCACCAAGGCGACGAUUGGUAGCCGGACUGAGAGGUUGAGCGGCCACAUUGGGACUGAGACACGGCCCAGACUCCUACGGGAGGCAGCAGUGGGGGAUAUUGCACAAUGGGGGAAACCCUGAUGCAGCGACGCCGCGUGGAGGAAGAAGGUUUUCGGAUUGUAAACUCCUGUCGUUAGGGACGAUAAUGACGGUACCUAACAAGAAAGCACCGGCUAACUACGUGCCAGCAGCCGCGGUAAAACGUAGGGUGCAAGCGUUGUCCGGAAUUACUGGGUGUAAAGGGAGCGCAGGCGGACCGGCAAGUUGGAAGUGAAAACUAUGGGCUCAACCCAUAAAUUGCUUUCAAAACUGCUGGCCUUGAGUAGUGCAGAGGUAGGUGGAAUUCCCGGUGUAGCGGUGGAAUGCGUAGAUAUCGGGAGGAACACCCAGUGGCGAAGGCGACUACUGGGCACCAACUGACGCUGAGGCUCAAAGCAUGGGUAGCAAACAGGAUUAGAUACCUGGGUAGUCCAUGCCGUAAACGAUGAUUACUAGUGUNGGANGGAUGNACCCCUUCAGUGCCGCAGUUAACACAAUAAGUAAUCCACCUGGGGAGUACGACCGCAAGGUUGAAACUCAAAGGAAUUGACGGGGGCCCGCACAAGCAGUGGAGUAUGUGGUUUAAUUCGAAGCAACGCGAAGAACCUUACCAGGUCUUGACAUCCGAUGCAUAGUGCAGAGAUGCAUGAAGUCCUUCGGGACAUCGAGACAGGUGGUGCAUGGUUGUCGUCAGCUCGUGUCGUGAGAUGUUGGGUUAAGUCCCGCAACGAGCGCAACCCUUAUUGCCAGUUACUACGAAAGAGGACUCUGGCGAGACUGCCGUUGACAAAACGGAGGAAGGUGGGGAUGACGUCAAAUCAUCAUGCCCUUUAUGACCUGGGCUACACACGUACUACAAUGGCGUUUAACAAAGAGAAGCAAGACCGCGAGGUGGAGCAAAACUCAAAAACAACGUCUCAGUUCAGAUUGCAGGCUGCAACUCGCCUGCAUGAAGUCGGAAUUGCUAGUAAUCGCGGAUCAGCAUGCCGCGGUGAAUACGUUCCCGGGCCUU